UAUGUGAUCGUCUCUCGCAUAUCAAUAAGCGGAGGAAAAGAAACUAACAAGGAUUCCCCUAGUAACGGCGAGUGAAGCGGGAAGAGCUCAAAUUUGAAAUCUUAAAGGGUUUCCCUUUACGAAUUGUAGUUUAAAGAAGUGUUUUCUGUUGAGGUUUUGGUAAAAGUUCUUUGGAAUAGGACAUCAUAGAGGGUGAGAAUCCCGUAUUUGACCUUUACUUUCAACUUUGUGAUACACUUUCAAAGAGUCGGAUUGUUUGGGAAUGCAGUCCAAAAUGGGUGGUAAAUUUCAUCUAAGGCUAAAUAUUGGCGAGAGACCGAUAGCGAACAAGUACCGUGAGGGAAAGAUGAAAAGAACUUUGAAAAGAGAGUUAAACAGUACGUGAAAUUGUCAAAAGGGAAGCGUUUGACACCAGUGUUGUUUUUCUGAAAAUCAAUUAAAGAACUGUUUAUGCUAAGUUGUUUAGACUUUAUCAGCUAUCUGUUUAGUUUUGAGCUUUUCUUUAAUGCACUUUUCAGUUAACAAGUCAACAUCAAUUUCUUUUGCUGUAAAAAAGCUUGAGGAAGGUGGCUUGAGAUUCGUCUUAAGUGUUUAUAGCCUCUUGCCUAUGCAGUCGGAGAGAUUGAGGUCUGCAGCGUAGAUCCUUCGGGGCUAAAUGCAUUUGUGCUAAGUUAUAGCAUUUCAUAGACAACUUGUUGACUAUGAUUUGUCUUGUAGCUUACUCGCUUAUGUUAUUUUACCUACGCUUAGGAUGUUGAAGACUCUACAGAGAUA
rnacentral:rRNA from 1 species